AUCAGUAAUGUUUUCACAGCUUUAAUCAAAUCAUUCAUCAUCCAUAAGUUGUGAUGGAAAAGUGUCUGCAAACGUGCAGGAGCCCAUUUUUAGAGAAAUUAAAUGAGGUUAGGUUCGAACUUGAAAUUUUAAUAUAAAAGUUUCAGGUGGUGAUGAAUGUAAGUUUCACAUAGUAGAAAUAUGUGUUUAUCAUUAAUAUUGGUUUUAUUCUGAGUUUAGUGUUUAUUUGUGAGCAUUGUUUUUAUCUCCAUGAUUUUACUCUUUUUGUAUCACAUGUUUUUAGUCUGUUUUUACAUUGUUUUAAUCCACUGUGGAUUGGCUGGGCAUGGGACAAAUUAGCUGAUAGUCAUCACCUGCUGAGGCAUGUGUCUGUCCAGUGGUGUCCUUUCAGCUGUGUUUAAAGGACUUAUUAAAAGGAAGCAAGCUGAGUACUGGAAGGAGAGAGGCCCUAGAUUUGAAUAGGAACGCAUGAAGCCCGUCUGGAGACCGGUCAGCGUGAUGUGGUGACCCAGUCCCAACAGCAGGAACGGCGACAGGAGGAGACAACGCGUGUGAUUGACAUCAGUGCAGAUGUAUACCACUGCCUGCAUCUGUGAUGACGUGAGGGGAGCCGCUGUGGUAUCGAGCGACGGACUCCAAUGCAGAAUGCGAACUGGGCUGGGAUGUGAUGGGGCCCAGUGGACGGACGAGACCGGGACAGGAGGCUCCUAGUCUGCCUGGCACGAUGCUGACGUGGACCUCGCUUAGCAAGAGGAAUUUCUGUCCAGCUCAAGAACACACAAGGAGUAUUCGUCCUGGGUUGUGGGACUGGGUGGGAUUUUUGUGCAUGAAGAGAAUUGUAUUUUUACCAGUUUUAGAAUAAUCUUAUCUAGUCUCGGUGGGAAUUUUAGCAUAUUGAGAAAAAUGUUGUUGUGAAUUGGCUUGAUUUAAAUCAAAUUGAACUGCACUCAAUUAAAACCAAAUAUAACUUGUAAUCAAAUCUAUUCAAAUGUAAAGUCAUCUCACUCAAUUUGGACAACUAGCACUGAAAAAUACACUGACAUCCUCUGUUUCCCAAUUAGCAGAUGAGAGGUUGCUGUUUUAUUCAUGACUCAAUACUUGAAUGGUUUUAUCCUGUUUAUGAAUAAACAUUUUAAAAUGA